ensembl:lncRNA
UGGACAGGAUGGUCUGAUGGUCUCAGUGGAGUAAAAUCUGUUCUGUUUCAUGUUAAACUCUGAUCAAUCAUGUGAACAUGUGUGUGUGUGUGUGUGUGUGUGUGUGAUCUGCUGCGAAGAAGCGCUACAUGAUGACAUCAUCAAAAAGCGCCAAAUGAACACAUGCACAGUCAUCAGUCUGUUUCUGUCCUUUAUAAGUCCAGGUCAUGCAGAGGUUACAAGUGGACAUGAGGAGUACGGCCUGUCAUUACAUACUGACAUACUCUCUGUCUGUCUCUCUGCCUGUCUGUCUCUCUGCCUGUCUGUCUCUCUGCCUGUCUGUCUAUCAUUUUAUCUGUCCUUUUAGCUCUGUUUGUCAAUUUUUGUUAUUGUAGAUCUGUUUGUGUGGCUGUCUUUAUGUCUUUCUGUCAUCUUUUAUGUCCAUUUUUGUUACAGUGUCUGUCACUUACUCUGUCUCUGUCCAUCCAUCGUCUUGUCUUUCGACUGAAGUUAUGCUGUUUUGUCUGUCUGUCCAAACGGUCUGUAUCUGUCCGUAUCAUUAUUAUUAGUAUGAUUACUCUUAUUAUUCUUAUGGAUAAACAAAUCUGAAACCAUAUCGAUCCAUCUAUCUAUCUAUCUAUCUAUCUAUCUAUCUGUCUAUCUAUCUAUCUGUCUAUCUAUCUAUCUAUCUAUCUGUCUAUCUAUCUAUCUGUCUAUCUAUCUAUCUGUCUAUCUAUCUAUCUAUCUAUCUAUCUAUCUAUCUAUCUAUCUGUCCAUCUAUCUGUCUAUCUAUCUAUCUGUCUAUCCAUCCAUCCAUCCAUCCAUCCAUCUAUCUAUCUAUCUAUCUAUCUAUCUAUCUAUCUAUCUAUCUAUCUGUCUAUCUAUCUAUCUAUCUAUCUGUCUAUCUAUCUAUCUAACUGGAGUGUAAAAGCUUCAGUAAACCUCGACUUGGCUCCAGAUUGGCCUGUAAGGCGAGAAUCUCCCAAAACUCUGUGACCUCUGACCUCUCACAGUCUUUAGCCUUGACUUCACUCUGUCAACAUGGCAGUAAGUAUUGUUCUGUUUGACAGAGAGCAAAUUAAACACCACCCUGAGCCCUCGUCUCUCCCUCCCUCCCUCCUUCUCUCUCUCUCCCUCUCCCCAUCUAUCUCUGCUAAUUCAAUAUUCUCAAAAGGUUUUUUUUUUUACUCUUACACUGAAAAUCCGGUAUCGUAACUUUAAAACAAACCCUUUCCCCUAAUAUCAUCUCUAUUUUAUCCCUUCACCAGAUAUUUAUUUAUUUGCUUGUUUUGUACUCGUUUGCUGCAAUCGGUUGCUGAUCCUCGCCACUUUGCAUGCGCAGUGUGCGUCUGGAGUAUUUUACUUCAUUAGCCAAAUCAAUUAAUUGCCUUCCCGUUACGCAAACUACCCAGAAAGCCCGGAGCAGCCGUCUAUUGAGGCAGCGAGGAGGCUCGAA